CCCUUAGAUGUUCUGGGCCGCACGCGUGCUACACUGAGUAAUUCAAUGGGUAAGGGAACGCUAGAGCAUUACCUAAUCUUGAAAUUUGCUCGUGAUGGGGAUCGACGGUUGCAAUUUUCCGUCGUGAACGAGGAAUACCUUGUAGGCGCAUGUCAUCAUCAUGCGCCGAAUACGUCCCUGCCCUUUGUACACACCGCCCGUCGCUCCUACCGAUUGAAUGAUCCGAUGAAUAUCAUGGAUUGAGGAUGCAAGUAGGUUAGCCUAUCUUCAUCUUCGAGAAGUGAAGUAAAUCUUAUCAUUUAGAGGAAGGAGAAGUCGUAACA
rnacentral:rRNA from 1 species